GUGAUGAUGUGGUUAAUUCGAUGCAACGCGAAAACCUUACCACCUUUGACAUGGCAGGAAGUUACCAGAGAUGGUUUCGUGCUACGAAAGAGAACCUGCACACAGGUGCUGCAUGGCUGUCGUCAGCUCGUGUCGUGAGAUGUUGGGUUAAGUCCCGCAACGAGCGCAACCCUUGCCAUCAGUUGCUACGAAAGGGCACUCUGAUGGGACUGCCGGUGACAAACCGGAGGAAGGUGGGGAUGACGUCAAGUCCUCAUGGCCCUUAUAGGUGGGGCUACACACGUCAUACAAUGGCCGGUACAAAGGGCAGCCAACCCGCGAGGGGGAGCCAAUCCCAUAAAGCCGGUCGUAGUCCGGAUCGCAGUCUGCAACUCGACUGCGUGAAGUCGGAAUCGCUAGUAAUCGCAGAUCAGCACGCUGCGGUGAAUACGUUCCCGGGCCUU
rnacentral:rRNA from 1 species